rnacentral:rRNA from 1 species
UACGUAGGGUGCAAGCGUUAAUCGGAAUUACUGGGCGUAAAGCGUGCGCAGGCGGCUUUGCAAGACAGAUGUGAAAUCCCCGGGCUCAACCUGGGAACUGCAUUUGUGACUGCAUGGCUAGAGUACGGUAGAGGGGGAUGGAAUUCCGCGUGUAGCAGUGAAAUGCGUAGAGAUGCGGAGGAACACCGAUGGCGAAGGCAGCCCCCUGGGCUAACACUGACGCUGAGGCACGAAAGCGUGGGGAGCAAACAGG